AAGACCCCAUAUAUAACAAAUAACAAAACAGACCUCCAUGUUACUGGUUAGUUCCCUCACUCAGAAUCUUUGCGGGGAGCUCAGGAGCGGGAGCCGUUGUGCUUUCCCUCUUCUUUUGCAGAAGAGGGAGGGCUUCCCUCGGAGCUCUCUUCGAAAUUAGCAGUCCUCGACCUGCCAUGUCUGGACCGGAUGUUGUCCCCCAUAGGGAAGGGUUCCUG
rnacentral:misc_RNA from 1 species